GGUUUUUGUACACAGCAGCUGACCAUCACAGAGACACAGAUCCAAUUGGAAUAGCUAGAAUAGUACUACCGGAGAACAUAGCAAUAGGUUUCGUGGAACCAAAUAGAUGAUGGCAGAACCGAUUGCUAAAGCAGAGGAGGAAGAAGAGGAAGGCAGAGGAGGAGGAGGAGGAGGAGAGAGAGGGAAAGAGGAGAAAUCGAAGGUGAUGAGCAGGAAAGAGAAGAGGAAGGAGAGGAAGAAGAUGAAGAGGAAGCAAUUUAGGAGAGAGAUUGCGGAGAAGGAGAGAGAAGACGAGGAGAGGAAAAUGAACGAUCCGGAGGAGCAGAGGAGAGAGAAGGAGAUGGAGGAAGAGGAGAGACAGAGAAUGGAGAGGGAGAGGAAGGAAUUCGAGGAGAGAGAGAGGAAGUGGCUCGAAGAAAUGGAAAGGAAGAGAAAGGAGGAGGAAGAAGAAGAGGAAAGGAGGAUGGCCUUGGAAGAAGAGGAAGAGUCCAACAGAUUACUGGUUGAAAAGGAUAAUGAGGGUAAUGAGGAUGACGAUUGGGAAUAUGUAGAAGAGGGGCCUGCAGAAAUUAUCUGGCAAGGAAAUGAGAUAAUUGUUCGGAAGAAAAGGGUCAGGGUAUCGAAGAAGAGUGCAGAUCAACAGAACAGAAGUGAGGAUUCUGAUAGACCUGCAUCAAAUCCUCUUCCUCCACAGUCUGAAGCUUUUGCUGAGUACCAAAAUGCAUCAAAGACUUCAGUGGAACAAAUGCUUGAUAAUGUUGCUCAACAAAUACCUAAUUUUGGAACUGAACAGGAUAAAGCUCAUUGUCCUUUCCAUUUAAAGACUGGAGCUUGUCGGUUCGGCCAGCGCUGCAGCAGAGUUCAUUUUUACCCUGAUAAAGCAUGUACAUUACUCAUGAAGAACAUGUAUAAUGGUCCCGGCCUUCCUUGGGAACAAGAUGAGGGCCUCGAGGUCUGUUACAUGCUGCCUUCAUGUGUUUCAUUAUUAUUGUUGUGCUUGACGUAAGUUAAAGUCAGAGGGUCCUCAUAAGAUUUACUUUGAUGGAGGUCUAUGAUAUUGGGCGUAGUUGGUUGAAGAAAAGACUUUUGCUAUUCUUUUGUUGGGCAUAUCUGGGCAGCAGAGCUGUGUUCUUGAUGAUUGUUAUUGCUUUUUCAAGGAUACCAAUUGAAGGCAGCAUAACCAAUUUUAUACGGAUGAAGAGGUUGAGCACUGUUAUAAAGAAUUUUAUGAGGAUGUGCACACAGAGUUCUUGAAGUAUGGGGAAAUAGUGAAUUUCAAGGUUUGUAAGAAUGGUUCAUUCCACUUGCGAGGGAAUGUUUAUGUCCAGUAUAAAUCGCUGGAUUCAGCUGUACUUGCUUAUCACUCUAUCAAUGGUCGCUACUUUGCUGGAAAACAGGUAAAAUGUGAAUUUGUCAAUGUGACAAGAUGGAAGGUUGCUAUAUGUGGAGAUUAUAUGAAGUCAAGGCUCAAGACAUGUUCUCAUGGAAUGGCUUGCAAUUUUAUCCACUGCUUCCGUAAUCCAGGUGGGGACUAUGAGUGGGCUGAUUGGGAUAAACCACCACCUAGAUAUUGGGUGAAAGAGAUGGCUGCUCUAUUUGGUUACUCUGAUGAAUCUGCAUACGGGAAAGAGAUGGACAAAGAAAAGUUUGAGCAUAUGAGGAUGCCUAGCAAGACAAUACCAACUGAUACAGACAGGCUUCUUGCUAGAAGAUCUAGGCCCAGGCACAUAGAUCACCGGUUCCCUUGUUCUGUUAAAAGCAGUGAUGAUGAAGAUAGAGUUCAAGAAGGCACUUGCUGGUAUAGGUGGGCAGAUGAUGAUCACAGAAGUCAUGAUUCUAAUUCUGAUGGAGGUUGGUCAGAUAGGGACAUUAGCUUGGACCGAAAACGAAACAAGUAUCAUCGUCAUGUGAGCAAAAGGUCAAAA
rnacentral:misc_RNA from 1 species